rnacentral:lncRNA from 13 species
CCACUCCCCUCCUCCUCCCCUCACCCCACCCCCUUCUCCUAACCCCACUCCCCUCUCCUCACCCCUCAUACAUGUACAAUUGGCCUACAUAAACUCCCAUCAAAAGGGAUUGUAUUGUCGCCAACUUGGUUCUCGGUCUCUUUCGUGUGCAUGUGAAACAAUCUUGGUCACAAGGAUUGUGGUGUACACAUGCCAUCUCUGCUGAAAACAUUAUGUAUUUGAUAUGGGACAAAAGAAAGCCUGAUAUUGAUUUUUGCAUUCACAUCUGUAGUUCCAUGCAACCAUCAAAUGGACAGCCCAGAUUUCAUUAGAGACCUGCUCCCUGCUGCAGAGAAGACAGCCCUGCUGUACAACAUCUCCUACCUCUGCCUGGCCAAAUUCCCCUCUCUGGAGAGAAUCAUCAGAGCCAAUGCUGUUGAGGCCCAAAUGCUGUUCUCCUCCUCUGAGGCUCUGCUGCUGCUGUGUGUUAGCACCAGUGACAACAUGGUCAAGACAUUAUUCCCUAUGCUGAAGGCUGCUGUGGAGAAAGAUAAGCCAGUAGUUGCCAUCAAAUUCCUGAUGAAGGCCAAUCAGUGGAUCCAUGAUAUCAUCAAAGAAGUUGAAAAAAUAGUAGAAGCCUACAAGAAUCUCAACAAUGGGGUGGCGACCGCCACCAGCGAUGUUAUUUACACCAAAGCCAAAACAGAGGACAAGAAUAAACAGCUGACCAAUGAAGAGAAUAUCCUGCAGAAUGCUGUUGACGAAUACAAUAGGAAGCUAAGUGUCAUCCAGUCAGAUCUGACGGAGGUCAAUAGAAAAAUCAACGAUGCUGAUACGGAGCUGCGUGAGUUGGUUAACAGCAUUACCAGUAGAAACAAGAAGAUUGGCAUAGUGGCUGCUGUGGUUCCCUUCAUAGGAUUAAUCACCGAUGCUAUCCAGAAGAUAAUCAAUGACCCUACUGAUAGUGCAGCCAUUGAGUUGGCCAAGAACAAGAUGAAUCAGCUUCAGCUGGACAAGACCCGUUUGAGUAAAAACGAAUGGGAGGCCCAAACGGAGGCGAUGAAACACCAGAUGGAGCUGACCAGAGCCAAAUUUGACCUGGGUUCUGUUCCUGAUCCUGUCCAUCUGGCUGAGGUUCAAAUCUGCCUGACCCGGAUCCAGGAGAUUCUGCUGCAACUCAAAAGCUUCUGGGAGAAGAUCGGAGUGAUGGUGACCAACCUGCAGCAGAAGACCUUUGCUGGGGAAGACCUGAUUGAUGAUCUCUCAGAAUUUAAGGAGGAGUUCUUGGAUUCAUUGAAAGUAGCUGAAGAGGCUUGGAACACGUUUAGUGGGAGAUGCCAGAAUGUCAUGGGCAUGUUUAGUGUCCAGUCAAAGGAUGCCUACAAGUUCCUGGAGACCAGCCCAUCAUCUCUCACCCAGGAAGAGUGGCAGGAAAUGUAUGAUGCUGUGACAGCCAAACUGUAUUCCUUCUACCCUGCCCUCGAGGCCAAGCAGGCCUUUGAGGACCAGCAGGACAUUGAGGACCAGCAGGACAUUGAGGACCAGCAGGCUGCAAAAAGUAAUUAAUGUUUGCAUCCACUGUCACCAGGUUAACAUUAAAGGAGUUUUGUUUUGUUGGUCUUAUAUUGACAUUGGUGACAAGUAGGAUUUGUGGGCAUAAUUAGUAGUUCACAUGCUGUUAUGAGUAACUUUCCAUUAUUUGUUGAUCAUUGUUGAUUAUUGUGUUGUGCUUUUAUUAGAGCUCAUCAUCUACUAUGCUAACAGUAUAAUACCAAACUGGCUAUUGUUCACCUUUCUUCUUGGAGUAUACUAAUGUUGUGGGUAGCAGGCAGGUUUUAAGGCUUCUGGUCUGUUCAAAGACUUCAAUAGUUUAACUUUGUGCAGAGCUUUCAGGAAUAUGAACUGAUCUAUAUACAUAUGUAUACGCUACAGUAUUCAUAAGUAAUCAUGUAUAAUCACAAUGUAUGUUAUUGGUAUAUCAGUAUGUCAGUUUCAGUAUACUAUCACGUAUAAUUAGUUUAGAGCCAUAGAGGUGGAGUUUAGAGCCAUAGAGGAGGAGUUUAGAGCCAUAGAGGAGGAGAUUAGAGUCAUAGAGGGUCUUAAUUGUACUUUCUUCUGUUCUCUGCUGCUUAUCUCCUGAAAUCCCUUAUGAAAACUAAACUAAAUAUAAUCCAAAUCAAAUUAGGCUACAAUGUUCUUUAAUGCAUGUUUAUUAUGGAAUACAUCUGAGUAAGAGCAACCAUGGUGUCUUAAUAUGUUCUCAAAGAUGACCUAGGACUGACCUUGGCCCAUUGUGUGGACCAGGGAUCAGCUAUAUCAGAGAAACUUCUAGAGAGAAAUGUAGCUUGUGCUAAGGCUUACUGAUUCUGCGUCUGACUGGCAGUCCUUCAGAUGCUUGAGAAAUAGAUGUCUAUCCCUGGCUAGAAAAGCAAAAUCAACGUACCUCUUGAACUGUGUGUCUGAGAUUGGUGGGAAUCCAGCUGCCUUCUGGAAGGUAGUAAUAUCUCUGAAACAAAACUCCACCCCUCAUUACCCCAGCAGGUUAUGACAACUUCUGGUCCCAUAACUGAUAAGAUGGACAUUUGUGGUGUUUAUAAUAACCACUUUGCCUAAGAGGGCUACCUAUUUGAUAAAAAUAGCUUCUAAAAACUCUGAUUCCCGUAGAGCAGGUAUUCCCAGACUGGGGUACUGGUGGUACGCACAAUGUCGUUGGGGGUACGCCAAAUAAAAAUGUGAUUCUCAUAAAAAAAUAUAUAUCCAAAAAAUUCACAUUUUCAAACAGUGCAUUUAUAUUUUCAAACGGGGUUAUAUAUAUUUGGUCAUCUGAGUAGCCUCGUUUCACUGCCAAAAAUAAAAUUAAACAAUCUAGUGUUCAGCUAAAUAACAACACAAUGUCAAAUACAGGUUGCCUAGUCAAAUAACUAACAUCCAAUCACAUUAACCGUUACUCUCUUGCGGGACUUCCACUAACUAUUCCACUAUGUAGCCAAACGUAGCUGCUGCUCAUUCCAUUUGCAAAAUAAUUGAUAAAUGGUUAAAAAACAUAAGGCAAAUAACAGCUCUACUAAACCUGCACCUGUCGACAACACAAGUUGUUUUGCUUUCACGAGCAAUCCAAUGCAGGCAUCAGUAAUUAUACAUUUGUUGUCAGCCCAGCUAACAUGGACACUGACACUUGUGAAUCUGAUGCAGCCAAAGAGCUACUGCCCUUUUACCCAGGAAAGCACCGAACAACAGACAGAGACGUUGGACCUAAGUCCUCCACAAUAGUAUAGGGCUUGCCUGUCCUAGCCACUCGGUAGCUCAUCAUAUAAGAUGCUUCUAGCCCCUUAUUUUUAAUGGUAUCUGUUGCUUUUAUAAAUGUCUUACUACUCGAAAGUCGUCGUAAUUCUCGCUCCAAAAACUCCUGUGUCUUAUUUUUCAGAUUGGCAUGUUUUGUUUCAACAAUUACUGCUUUGCAUACAAGCUGGUGAAUUCUAUGCAUUACAGCUGGAUGAGUCAACAGACGUGGCGGGCCUGGUACAGCUCCUGGUAUAUGUCCGUUACGUUUAUGGGGGGUCAAUUAAGGAAGACAUCCUCUUCUGCAAACCACUAGAAACACAGGACAACAGGAGAGGAUAUUUUUAAAGUACUGGACAGCUUUGUGACAUCAAGUGGACUUUGGUGGUCAAUAUGUUGUUACGGUGAGUGAAUGAGGACCCAAAAGCGAACUAACUUAAACAGAGCUUCUUUAAUAACCAAACUGUGGUAGGCUCAGAUAGACCGGCAGAUUCCGACAGGACAGGACAAGGUUACAGCAAACAUGACGAUAGUCUGGCUCAGGCAUGAAACACAACAAACAAGAAUCCGACAAGGACAGGAACAAAAACAGAGAGAGAUAUAGGGGACUAAUCAGAGGGAAAAAGGGAACAGGUGGGAAAAGGGGUGACGAGGUGGUUAGGAGGAGACAAGGCACAGCUGGGGGAAAGAGGGGGAGAAAAGGUAACCUAACAACGACCAGCAGAGGGAGACAGGGUGAAGGGAAAGGACAGAGACAAGACACAACAAGACAGUACAUGACAGUACCCCCCCACUCACCGAGCGCCUCCUGGCGCACUCGAGGAGGAAACCUGGCGGCAACGGAGGAAAUCCUCGAUCAGCGCACGGUCCAGCACGUCCCGAGAGGGAACCCAACUCCUCUCCUCAGGACCGUACCCCUCCCAAUCUACGAGGUACUGGUGACCACGGCCCCGAGGACGCAUGUCCAAAAUUCUACGGACCCUGUAGAUGGGUGCGCCCUCGACAAGGAUGGGGGG